AUAGACAGAUAGACAGAUAGACAGACAGACAGACAGACAGACAGAUAGACACAGACAGACAGACAACUACUCUGAAUGAAAUGAGUAAUUUACCAAGAGCUGCCAGUAACACUAAUAUUCAUCUAUGGAAAAUAUCGUCGACCUUUCCACGAUGAUAUGUUACAGAACACUGAACUGGUGAAGACAAUGCCAUUCUCGACGCUGUUGUUGGCUGUGCUGCUCCCCGUCCUGGGCUCCGAGCUGGUGGUGUCGGUGGUGGAGGAGAGGACAGUAAGAGGAGGUUGGCAGGAGGUCAAUCGGCCUCGUGUUGACCUCAGCGAGUCGGCCAACGUGACAGGUCUGCUGGGCAAGACGGCCGUGUUGAACUGUCGUGUACGGAACAUUGGUAACAGG